CCACCCCACUACCCCUGCUCUCGGAGGUGAGUGGGAUUGCUAUAGUCAACAGGCGGCCGGCCGGAUGACUGGUUGGGUGUACCACAUCGGCGUCAGCUCCGUCGGCCAUGAAUACUGUCAUCUCCGCUUCCUUACUAUCAGGGGCAAAUCCGUCGCCAUGUACAAGCGCGACCCGCUCGACAACCCAGAAAUCGAACCUAUCCGAAAGGGUGUUGUUAGUCCCACUCUUGUGUGUGAGGAGCUUGGUCGACAGAGGGUGAACUAUGGGGACUUUUAUGUCUUGAGGCUCUACAAUCCGAUGGAUCAAAACAUGAAAGGACAGAUAGCAUGCGCAAAUCCGGGCGAAGUUAGGAAAUGGCUUGAAGCAUUUGAGGAAGCCAGACUACAGAUUGAUGGCUCAAAUCCAGUUUAAGGGACAUGGAAACCAUGUGGUAUUAAUAUUCAUGUCUUAUUAGUUAUUAUGGCUGAAUAUGACAUGAUGAGAGGGGUUAGCUGGAAUGAAAAUGAGAUUAAUUUUGAUGGUCAUCGUCCUCGACUAAGGAGAUAUGUAUAUGGAUUGGGAAAAUACCUAAGAAUUAGCAAAAGUACUGCUGGAUGACGUGGAUAGGAGCAUUGAUCAGCUGGCGUGGCGGGAGCAACUCGUUUACCAAAUUGCAAGCCAUCUGCAAUUUGAGCCACCAAAGUAUGACAAGCCAUCUGCAAGAAAAUUGAGCUGAUUCCCGAAACCGAGGAAGAUAGCAAUCGGCAUAUUGAAGAAGUUGACCAAAUCCAUUUGUAUGUUAUGCCUCAACUUCUAUAAUGACUUGAAUAUUUUGUGUAGCCAAAUAGCGGACAAUAUCUUUUGUUGUGAUAUAUUUACUCUAUGCUUUUGGCUUUAUUUAUUUUCUUUAAAACGUGUAAAGGUGAUACCUUCAUAAGUAUCGGCUGGAUGUUACAUAGCCUGAUAUAAACAUGUCAGCUUUUCAAAGGAUCCAAA